UACAAAUCUGGCUGUCGAGAUGCCUAAAAAGCAUUUCAUAGCAAGGGCCGGGCAAGACCGGUGCCAGCCGCCGCGGUAACACCGGCGGCUCGAGUGGUAACCGUUAUUAUUGGGUCUAAAGGGUCUGUAGCCGGCCGGAUAAGUCUCUUGAGAAAUCUGGCAGCUUAACUGUCAGGCUUUCAGGAGAUACUGUCUGGCUCGAGGCCGGGAGAGGUGAGAGGUACUUCAGGGGUAGGGGUGAAAUCUUGUAAUCCUUGAAGGACCACCAGUGGCGAAGGCGUCUCACCAGAACGGACCUGACGGCAAGGGACGAAAGCUAGGGGCACGAACCGGAUUAGAUACCCGGGUAGUCCUAGCCGUAAACGAUACUCGCUAGGUGUCGGCCACGGUGCGACCGUUGUCGGUGCCGUAGGGAAGCCGUGAAGCGAGCC
rnacentral:rRNA from 1 species